AUGACUCAUUGAGAAAGUUAGCCAUGAAUUCUACUACUAGAUGGUUUGCCAUGAAUAUGAUUUUGCUCAACUUCUUUCCAAUCCUCCCCUCUUCCACUUCCAUUGUCAUUGGCUCUAUAAAUCCAAAUCAAACCAUGAGAGAUGGCGAUGUUCUUCUCUCCAGUACUAAAAUCUUUGCACUUGGGUUUUUCAGCCCGGCCAAUUCUCGUAACCGGUAUGUUGGAAUUUGGUACAACAAUGUUCCAAACCAAACCAUUGUCUGGGUUGCAAACAGAGACAACCCCAUCAUUCCUGUCACUGAUAAUAAUGCCUCUGGAGUUGGACUUCUAGCUGUUCAUGGAAAUGGAGGCCUGGUCAUCUAUGGGAAGGACCAAAAUACCCCUCUUUGGUCUGCUAAUGUUUCAGUCUCUUCGCCAAACAAUUCCAUGACAGCCAAGCUUUUGGAUACAGGAAAUCUUGUUUUGCUUGAGGACGAUGGUUUUAGCCAAAGGGUAUUGUGGCAAGGCUUUGAUCAUCCCACAAAUACAAUGCUUCCAUUCAUGAAACUUGGGCUAGACCGGCGGUCCAAGUUGAAUCGGUUUCUCACAUCAUGGAAAUCUAAAGAUGAUCCGGGAAUCGGUAACUAUUCGUAUCGGAUAGACCCAAGUGGGUUUCCGCAGGCCUUUUUAUACAAGGGUCAAGCUCCACGCUGGCGGGCUGGGUCAUGGACCGGAGAGAGAUGGAGCGGUGUGCCCAAAAUGAGAAACUUCAUAUUCAACGUUAGUUUUGUGAACAAUCAAGAUGAGUUAUCAAUUAUGUACAUGAGUGAAUCAAUCCUCUCGAGGAUGGUGCUCGAUGAAUCAGGAGUCGUUGUACGGUCUAUAUGGCAUGAUCAAGGGCAGCAAUGGAUCAAGUAUUGGUCUGCCCCAGAAGAGGAGUGUGAUGAAUAUGGGAAGUGCGGUGCCAAUAGCAAUUGUGACCCAUCCAAUAUGGCUAAGUUCGAGUGCACGUGCCUACCCGGAUACGAACCCAAGUUGCCACGUGAUUGGUAUUUGAGAGAUGGGUCGGGUGGGUGCGUGAGGAAAAGCGGAGUAUCUAUCUAUAUGUGGAAACGGGGAUGGGUUCGUGAAGGUUGAACAUGUGAAUCUACCCGACUCAUCUAAGGCACGUGUGAACAUGAAUUUGAGUUGGAAAGCAUGCCAGCAGGAGUGCUUGAGAAAUUGUUCUUGCAAGGCGUGCGCAAAAGCAGACGAGAGAUGGGGAGGGUUUGGAUGCGUGACAUGGCAUGGGGACUUGAUGGACACUAGAACAUUUUCGAAUGCUGGCCAGGAUUUCUAUGUACGAGUUGAUGCAAUUGCGUUAGCUCAAUAUGCAAAGUCAAAUCGUUCACUUAACAAGAAGGGAAAACUGGCAAUUUCUCUAGUUUCUGUUCUGGUGUUCCUUCUUCUUGUAGUUCCCAUUUCUUAUUGGUUGGUAAGGAGGAAAAGAAAAGGUAAGCAAAGACAAAAUAAGUAUUCCUCUAGAGUUACCACAAGGUCAACCUACUUUGAAGAUUCUACUGCAGAACUUGAUGAAAGCAGUAUGCACUCAGACAUACCAUUCUUUGAUCUAACAACCAUAGCAGCGGCCACGGACAAUUUCUCUCUCGCAAACAAGCUUGGAAAGGGGGGUUUUGGCUCAGUCUAUAAGGGUGUGCUUUGUAAUGGAAAAGAAGUGGCAGUGAAAAGAUUAUCAAAACAUUCUGGUCAAGGAACUGAGGAAUUUAAGAAUGAAAUUGUGCUGAUUGCAAAACUCCAACACAGGAACCUUGUCAGGAUUUUAGGUUAUUGCGUUCAAGAUGAAGAGAAGAUGCUAAUCUAUGAAUAUGUGCCAAACAAAAGCUUGGACUCUUUCAUAUUCCAUGACACAAAAAGAGCACUUCUAGAUUGGACAGUACGCUUCGGGAUCAUCUAUGGGAUUGCUAGAGGGAUCUUGUAUCUUCAUCAAGAUUCGAGAUUAAGGAUUAUCCACAGAGAUCUAAAGGCCAGUAAUGUUCUACUGGAUGCUUCUAUGAACCCCAAAAUUUCAGAUUUUGGUAUGGCUAGAAUAUUUAGAGGAGACCAAAGUGAAGCGAAUACAAGUCGUGUGGUUGGAACAUAUGGUUAUAUGUCACCAGAGUACGCAAUGGAAGGACAUUUUUCAAUGAAAUCUGAUGUAUAUAGUUUUGGAGUUAUACUCCUAGAAAUCGUUACUGGCAGAAAAAAUUAUGGUUAUUACCACGACAAGUAUCCCGGCGUAAAUUUGGUUGGACAUGUUUGGAACUUGUGGAGAGAAGGUAAAGUCUUGGAAAUCGUCGAUCCAUCUCUGGGUGAAUUGUACCCUGUCGAUGAAGUUGUGAGAUGCUUCCAAAUUGCACUCUUAUGUGUGCAAGAGUAUGCCACUGACCGGCCAACCAUGUCAGCAGUUGUUUUCAUGUUAGGGAAUUAUGAUGCAGCAGUUCCUUCACCCAGACAGCCUGCAUUUUUGUUACAGAGAACUUAUGAUGCUGGAGACCCAUUAACCAGUACAGAAGGAGCUAAGUCUAUGAAUGAUGUUACAUGUACUAGUGUACAAGCUCGCUAAAAGGCCUAGGCCACAAAAUAUUGGAUGUUAAGCUACGGCAACUAUAGCAGCCUGCGUCAAAAUUAUUCACUUAAGAGGCUUUUUGGUUGCUGCAUUCA